ACAGGUUUCAGACGACAUUCAGCAGACGAUAGUCAACAAGAUCAGUCGUUUAUAAUAUACUCCCUCGUUAGACUUAAGACGUAAUAUAGCAAGAUGGGCGAACAAGAGCAAAGAUUCAAUGAAUUCUUUGACAAAAUGGAUGGCAGUGGAAAUGGUGUCCUGACAAUUAGAGAGUUGCAUGACGGUCUGACAAAGCAUUGUGGUUUUGAAGGGGAUGCCGAUGCGGUAGCGGAGAUGUUCUGUGGAGCUGAUUCUAACUCGGACAGUAAAAUUACUCGCGAGGAAUUUAUCGACAACUGUUUGAAUAAACUUCCUCGAAAUCAAGCCAUAAAGGCGAACCUGAAUCUUGUGUUUAACAAAAUUGACGUUGACGGCAGUGGAG